UCUCAGGUGGCUCAGACGGUAAAGCGUCUGCCUACAAUGCAGGAGACCCAGGUUCAAUCCUUGGGUCGGGAA
rfam:TPA: Bos taurus chromosome 24, whole genome shotgun sequence.